GGAGCCUUGAGCUCCUUGAAGGGUCGUUCGAGACCAGGACGUUGAUAGGUCAGGUGUGGAAGUGCAGUAAUGCAUUAAGCUAACUGAUACUAAUUGCCCGUACGGCUUGUCCCU
rnacentral:rRNA from 1 species